rnacentral:rRNA from 1 species
AGCGCAGGCGGGAAACUAAGCGGAUCUUAAAAGUGCGGGGCUCAACCCCGUGAUGGGGUCCGAACUGGUUUUCUUGAGUGCAGGAGAGGAAAGCGGAAUUCCCAGUGUAGCGGUGAAAUGCGUAGAUAUUGGGAAGAACACCAGUGGCGAAGGCGGCUUUCUGGACUGUAACUGACGCCGAGGCUCGAAAGCUAGGGUAGCGAACG